rnacentral:tRNA from 1 species
GUCACCAUGGCGCAGUUGGCUAGCGCGUAGGUCUCAUUAAUCCUGAGGUCGAGAGUUCGAGCCUCUCUGGUGACA